rnacentral:rRNA from 1 species
GACGAACGCUGGCGGCGUGCCUAAUACAUGCAAGUCGAACGAGAGCGACCGGUGCUUGCACAGGUCAAUCUAGUGGCGAACGGGUGAGUAACACGUGGGUAACCUGCCCAUCAGAGGGGGAUAACAUUCGGAAACGGAUGCUAAAACCGCAUAGGUUCUACAGUCGCAUGACUGAAGAAGGAAAAGAGGCGUAAGCUUCUACUGACGGAUGGACCCGCGGUGCAUUAGCUAGUUGGUGAGGUAACGGCUCACCAAGGCCGUGAUGCAUAGCCGACCUGAGAGGGUGAUCGGCCACAUUGGGACUGAGACACGGCCCAAACUCCUACGGGAGGCAGCAGUAGGGAAUCUUCCGCAAUGGACGCAAGUCUGACGGAGCAACGCCGCGUGAGUGAAGAAGGAUUUCGGUUCGUAAAACUCUGUUGUUAGAGAAGAACAGCGCAUAGAGUAACUGAUAUGCGUGUGACG